GGGCCCGCACAAGCGGUGGAGCAUGUGGUUUAAUUCGAUGCAACGCGAAGAACCUUACCUAGGCUUGACAUGCAGGGGACAGGUGUAGAAAUACAUCCUUCCUUCGGGACCCCUGUACAGGUGCUGCAUGGCUGUCGUCAGCUCGUGUCGUGAAAUGUUGGGUUAAGUCCCGCAACGAGCGCAACCCUUGUCUUUAGUUGCCAUCAGGUAAUGCUGGGGACUCUAGAGAGACUGCCGGUGACAAACCGGAGGAAGGUGGGGAUGACGUCAAGUCCUCAUGGCCCUUACGCCUAGGGCUACACACGUGCUACAAUGGUCGGUACAAAGGGCAGCAAUGCCGCGAGGUGGAGCAAAUCCCAAAAAGCCGGCCUCAGUUCGGAUCGAAGUCUGCAACUCGACUUCGUGAAGUUGGAAUCGCUAGUAAUCGCGUAUCAGAACGACGCGGUGAAUACGUUCCCGGGCCUU
rnacentral:rRNA from 1 species